UGAGGGAAUAUUGGGUCAAUGGGCGAGAGCCUGAACCAGCCAAGUCGCGUGAGGGAAGACGGUCCUACGGAUUGUAAACCUCUUUUGUCGGGGAGUAAUAGGCGGGACGUGUCCUGCUGCGAGAGUACCCGAAGAAAAAGCAUCGGCUAACUCCGUGCCAGCAGCCGCGGUAAUACGGAGGAUGCGAGCGUUAUCCGGAUUUAUUGGGUUUAAAGGGUGCGUAGGCUGUUUGUCAAGUCAGAGGUGAAAGGCCGCAGCUCAACUGUGGAAUUGCCUUUGAUACUGGCAGGCUUGAAUACUGUUGCCGUGGGAGGAAUGAGUAGUGUAGCGGUGAAAUGCAUAGAUAUUACUCAGAACACCGAUUGCGAAGGCAUCUCACGAAGCAGACAUUGACGCUGAGGCACGAAAGCGU
rnacentral:rRNA from 1 species